rnacentral:rRNA from 1 species
UAUUGGUCAAUGGCCGAGAGGCUGAACCAGCCAAGUCGCGUGAGGGAAGAAUGUCCUAAGGAUUGUAAACCUCUUUUGUCGGGGAGCAAAAAGGCUCUGCGGAGUCGUAUUGAGAGUACCCGAAGAAAAAGCAUCGGAUAACUCCGUGCCAGCAGCCGCGGUAAUACGGAGGAUGCGAGCGUUAUCCGGAUUUAUUGGGUUUAAAGGGUGCGCAGGCGGCGUGUCAAGCAAGCGGUAAAAUAGCGGGUCUCAACCCCGUCGAGCCGUUUGAACUGGCGCGCUUGAGUUCAGGCGAGGUAGGCGGAAUUCGUGGUGUAGCGGUGAAAUGCAUAGAUAUCACGAAGAACUCCGAUUGCGAAGGCAGCUUACCAGUCUGCGACUGACGCUCAGGCACGAAAGUGCGGGGAUCG